ANAAGGNUUGCCGAUUUNAUUGANUAGUGCUUGCCCGAGAUUCAACAUGGAACGAGUGGCGGACGGGUGAGUAACCCGUGGGUAACCUGCCCUUAAGUGGGGGAUAACAUUUGGAAACAGAUGCUAAUACCGCAUAGAUCCAAGAACCGCAUGGUUCUUGGCUGAAAGAUGGCGUAAGCUAUCGCUUUUGGAUGGACCCGCGGCGUAUUAGCUAGUUGGUGAGGUAAUGGCUCACCAAGGCGAUGAUACGUAGCCGAACUGAGAGGUUGAUCGGCCACAUUGGGACUGAGACACGGCCCAAACUCCUACGGGAGGCAGCAGUAGGGAAUCUUCCACAAUGGACGCAAGUCUGAUGGAGCAACGCCGCGUGAGUGAAGAAGGCUUUCGGGUCGUAAAACUCUGUUGUUGGAGAAGAAUGGUCGGCAGAGUAACUGUUGUCGGCGUGACGGUAUCCCAACCAGAAAGCCACGGCUAACUACGUGCCAGCAGCCGCGGUAAUACCGUAGGUGGCAAGCGUUAUCCGGAUUUAUUGGGCCGUAAAGCGAGCGCAGGCGGCUUUUUAAGUCUGAUGUGAAAGCCCUCGGCUUAACCCAGGAAGCGCAUCGGAAACUGGGAAACCUGAGUGCAGAAGAGGACCGUGGAAC
rnacentral:rRNA from 1 species